UUGGGCAAAGCCACCAGAAGACGACUCAAGCCAACCAACUACUGGUGUCAGGAAGAAUCACCCUCUGCCUCAAGUGACACCUCUGAAUGGGAACAGCUGAUAGACUCAUUGCUGAUAGAGUAAAGGCUCUGUCAUAACCAGAGGCCCAUAUAUGCACUGUAAGAAAAGCAUUUCCUGUUGUAAGAUAUGUCAUCACCCUCUCUGCUCUGAGGGAAUGGGAGGAGCAGCGGAUCGGGGCAGAGAAUCAAAAGGUAUAUAAAGAGACAUUUGCCAUUACUUUGGCGCUGACUUCUUGAAUUCUGAAUUCAUUUAGACAACCAUUUGACUUCGGGUAAAUUGCCACCUGACUCAAAUUACUUAAAGAUUCUAACUUGUUGGAUCUGAGAAGGGUCUCUCCGAUAUACCCUUUAACUAUUGAACAGCUGUUCUCUCGCCUGUGGCCUUGGUGCUUGUAUACUGAUGCAAAUUAUAUCCAGAGCCAGUCUUUGAAACUGCAACUCUCGAUUGAGCUCAGUACCUCGCCCUAGUUGUGUGGCACAGACUCUUCGAUAUUCCAGUGGGGCUCUCAUCCGUUCCAAACUUGAAUCUCUCAAUUUAGUAAAGCACCGACUCCAAUUCAACCUCUCAGCCAGUAGAGGGGAGUCGCUACCUAUCUAAAUUCUUAAAAGGACUCUGACCGAUUGAAACUCUGCUCCUGAUCUCGUGGGUCUCCUCGUCAUCUCUCAAAGAUCACUGUGAGUCCAGGGCGGAGAUAAUAACUUCUGGAACAUUCCCUCAGUGAAGACUCAGACCCAGAACAUCUAACUCCAACCCCUAAAGUGGUGUUUCCAGGUAGUACUGAAACAGUGGAGCCACAACCCAACUGUCUACACACUACUGCAGCUUCAUCCUCUUUGUUCCAGUAAGCUCCCACAGUCCUCCACUCUCCCUGGUCGUACCGCUCCACUCCACCAGCACAGCGACUGCCUCCUCCCACCAGCCUCACAUCAUCAGGCUCUGAGAAAAGAAAAGAGAGAGACAGUUGUACUGAAACAGUGGAGCCACAACCCAGCUGUCUACACACUACUGCAGCUACAUUCCUCUGGUCUUCGUCCUCAGCUCCCACAGUCCUCCACUCUCCCUGAUCGUACCACUCCACUCCACCAGCACAGCGACUGCCUCCUCCCACCAGCCUCACAUCAUCAGGCUCUGAGAAAAGAA